AAUGGCUGCCACACUACCACACUACCUUGAAAAACGUGGUUGACUGGUUGUCGGGAAUCCUACACAAUUCAAAUAAACACUCAAGUGUAGGUAAUCGAAUUCCUCCUCUUGAUUGAGGAUGAGGAAAUAAGACUUGGUCUGUUUUGCUUCUUCUCAGGAUUUGUGCCGUCGCUGUCUGUUGUCCAUGAUCCAAUCGACAAAGGCUCAAUGCUGCCAUGCAGAAACCAGAAAUGAAUCUUCGCUUUUACAUUUAAUAAAAUGUUUCCACGCCAUUCGACCAAGCUGAAUCGAAAGUGAAUAAUUCUAAAGCAACAUGUCGGAAGAUCUUGCCUUUAUCCACGUGAUCGCUGCCGUGUUAUGAAGGUGUGUCUUUGAGAGGGUCUACUAUAUUGCAAGACAAAAAUGUGACGAAAACAGGAAAUCUGAAAUGAUAAAUUUGCAGUGGAAUAUUUUCAAAAAAAGCGGUUUGAAAUGGAAGAUUUAUUCAUUCACCGAAGAAACGAGUCAAAUGACUUAAAUGUCAAUUUGGAUAAAACCCAUCCCUAGCAACGUCAACCUGCAGAAGGAAAGGCCA